UUUAACUUUAAAGUUAUCCAAACAAAUGACUCAAAACCGAUUGUUAAUUAGUGCAGAGUUAAGACGCGAGUUUCAAAGGUGGCGAUAGUGCGGAGUUUGUGCAGGACAUAUCGUGCCGGCCUGGAAGAUGUUCCUGUAGGAGUGGAGGAUACUUUUGCGCCUAGCUGUCGAAGAAGAUGCAGACUUUUGUGAAGACGUCGGACUCUUCUUAGAGAAAAUAGGAGAUCAAGGACUAGUGGAUUCUUCUUCCUUCAAUACAACAGCCGAAAAGCCAGCGGGUUGUUUUCACAGUUCGUGGUCAGAACUGCUCUAUGUGUGGUGAAGAAAGAAACAAAAGUGGAUUAAAACCUGUCAACACUUGGCGAUGAAAAGUGGAUCAUCAUACAUCUAAUUAGUGAUUAGGGCUUGGAGAUGUGUGUGGUAUAAUGAAGUCAUAGAAGACAAACCUUUACUUAGGAACAGAAAACAUCAUGUAAACUCAUCAACGCGUUUUUAUGGAGGGAAAUAGCAACUUCAAUUUAUUUCUUCAGUAAUAUGAACACGGCAAUUUAUAGAUUAUCCAAGAAAAGAGAGAGACUUAAAGUCAGCUUGGUCAUACUGAAACCAGCAAUGUCUAGAUGGGUUUCAUCUUUCCUGGAGUAUAUACUUGAUUUGCUGCUUUGUCUUCACCUUGAACCAUUAUGCAGUCAAUUUUCAACCUACGAAUGAGAGCAACUGGAGGUUUCUUUGACUUCUUUUGAAACAACAAAUUUUCUGCUAUGGUAUUCCUCCUGGAUUUGGUUUGCUUUUCACACAUGCAAACUUUGGAAUGUUA